ACUUCAACGACAUCAUUCAUUCCAUCAUCGAUAUGGAUGCCGACGUGAUCACAAUCGAGAACUCACGCUCCGAUGAGAAGCUUCUCUCUGUGUUCCGUGAGGGAGUGAAGUAUGGUGCUGGCAUUGGUCCCGGGGUGUAUGACAUCCACUCUCCCAGGAUACCAUCCACAGAAGAGAUUGCUGAUCGCAUCAACAAAAUGCUUGCUGUUCUUGAGACCAACAUUCUCUGGGUUAACCCCGACUGCGGGCUCAAAACCCGCAAAUAUGCCGAAGUCAAGCCUGCUCUUACCAACAUGGUUUCUGCGGCCAAGAUUCUUCGCACCCAACUUGC
rnacentral:lncRNA from 1 species